AAUAUGUCAGCCAGUUGAUUCUCUG
rnacentral:piRNA from 1 species